GACGAACGCUGGCGGCGUGCUUAACACAUGCAAGUCGAACGGAAAGGCCCUGCUUUUGUGGGGUGCUCGAGUGGCGAACGGGGGUGUAACACGCGAGUAACCUGCACUUGACUUUGGGAUAACUUCAGGAAACUGGGGCUAAUACCGGAUAGGAGCUCCUGCUGCAUGGUGGGGGUUGGAAAGUUUCGGCGGUUGGGGAUGGACUCGAGGGUUAUCAGCUUGUUGGUGGGGUAGUGGCGUACCAAGGCUGUGACGGGUAGCCGGCCUGGGAGGGUGGCCGGCCUCCUGGCGCCUGAGGUACGGCCCAGACGCCUACGGGAGGCAGCGGUGGGGAAUAUUGCGCAGUGGGCGGAAGCCUGAUGCAGCAACGCCGCGUGCGGGAUGAUGGGCUUCGGGUUGUAAACCGCUUUCGCCUGUAACGAAGCGGGAGUGACGGUAAUGGGUAAAAAAGCACCGGCUAACUACGUG
rnacentral:rRNA from 1 species